GCUCAGGAUGAACGCUGGCGGCGUGCCUAACACAUGCAAGUCGAACGAAGCAAUUAAAGGAAGUUUUCGGAUGGAAUUUGAUUGACUGAGUGGCGGACGGGUGAGUAACGCGUGGAUAACCUGCCUCACACUGGGGGAUAACAGUUAGAAAUGACUGCUAAUACCGCAUAAGCGCACAGUACCGCAUGGUACGGUGUGAAAAACUCCGGUGGUGUGAGAUGGAUCCGCGUCUGAUUAGCCAGUUGGCGGGGUAACGGCCCACCAAAGCGACGAUCAGUAGCCGACCUGAGAGGGUGACCGGCCACAUUGGGACUGAGACACGGCCCAAACUCCUACGGGAGGCAGCAGUA
rnacentral:rRNA from 1 species